AACGAACGCUGGCGGCAUGCCUAACACAUGCAAGUCGAACGAGACCUUCGGGUCUAGUGGCGCACGGGUGCGUAACGCGUGGGAACCUGCCCUUAGGUUCGGAAUAACUCCCCGAAAGGGGUGCUAAUACCGGAUAAUGUCUUCGGACCAAAGAUUUAUCGCCUUUGGAUGGGCCCGCGUUGGAUUAGCUAGUUGGUAGGGUAAAAGCCUACCAAGGCGACGAUCCAUAGCUGGUCUGAGAGGAUGAUCAGCCACACUGGGACUGAGACACGGCCCAGACUCCUACGGGAGGCAGCAGUGGGGAAUAUUGGACAAUGGGCGAAAGCCUGAUCCAGCAAUGCCGCGUGGGUGAUGAAGGCCUUAGGGUUGUAAAGCUCUUUUACCCGGGAUGAUAAUGACAGUACCGGGAGAAUAAGCCCCGGCUAACUCCGUG
rnacentral:rRNA from 1 species